rnacentral:rRNA from 1 species
GACGUAGGGCGCGAGCGUUGUCCGGAUUUAUUGGGCGUAAAGAGCUCGUAGGCGGUUUGUUGCGUCGGCUGUGAAAUCCCGAGGCUCAACCUCGGGUCUGCAGUCGAUACGAGCAAACUAGAGUGUUGCAGGGGAGACUGGAAUUCCUGGUGUAGCGGUGAAAUGCGCAGAUAUCAGGAGGAACACCGAUGGCGAAGGCAGAUCUCUGGGCCGUAACUGACGCUGAGGAGCGAAAGCGUGGGGAGCGAACAGG